AGCAGCUGCCGUGAGGAAGGGAAGCUCCUGGGACAGGAAAUGAGAGGAGUGUCCCCAAGCCCUGCUCACUACAAACUGCCCUGCUUGUGCAAGCAGGAGAUGGACCGUGAGCACGGCCAUGAACCAGGUCAGAUACAGGAAGCACAUAGUGCCUUUUAAAAAGAUGGCUCUGGAGCUGUGAGAUAGCAAUGAAGACUGGAAACAGACAGAGAAGGAACAAGCAUUUAGCUGUGACCCUCCUGGCUGGCAACCCCCACCCUUCCCCAGGCGUUAUCUUCGGCCUAUUCAAGCUGCAGCAUUCCUGGCCUACAGCCUCCAUCCUUCCCUGGCAUUAUCUCCGGCCCUAGUUCCUUGAGAACAAUACAGCUGAUUUCACCUCAGCGCAGCUCCACCCGGAGACCAACAGAAAACUGACUGAAAGCAGACAACCCGCCGAGAAGAAGAUCUAAUGAACUCUCGGCCAUUUGGGGGGC